rnacentral:rRNA from 1 species
AUUGAACGCUGGCGGCAUGCCUUACACAUGCAAGUCGAACGGCAGCACGGGAGCAAUCCUGGUGGCGAGUGGCGAACGGGUGAGUAAUAUAUCGGAACGUGCCCGGUCGUGGGGGAUAACGCAGCGAAAGCUGCGCUAAUACCGCAUACGAUCUAUGGAUGAAAGCGGGGGACCGUAAGGCCUCGCGCGAUUGGAGCGGCCGAUAUCAGAUUAGGUAGUUGGUGGGGUAAAGGCUCACCAAGCCAACGAUCUGUAGCUGGUCUGAGAGGACGACCAGCCACACUGGGACUGAGACACGGCCCAGACUCCUACGGGAGGCAGCAGUGGGGAAUUUUGGACGAAUGGGCGCAAGCCUGAUCCAGCAAUGCCGCGUGCAGGAUGAAGGCC